UACGUAGGGGGCAAGCGUUGUCCGGAAUCAUUGGGCGUAAAGAGCGCGUAGGCGGCCCGGUAAGUCCGCUGUAAAAGUCCAGGGCUCAACCCUGGAAAGCCGGUGGAUACUGUCGGGCUAGAGUCCGGAAGAGGCGAGUGGAAUUCCUGGUGUAGCGGUGGAAUGCGCAGAUAUCAGGAGGAACAUCCGUGGCGAAGGCGGCUCUCUGGGACGGUACUGACGCUGAGACGCGAAAGCGUGGGGAGCGAACAGG
rnacentral:rRNA from 1 species